rnacentral:rRNA from 1 species
CCAGCUCUAAUAGCGUAUAUUAAAGUUGUUGCAGUUAAAAAGCUCGUAGUUGGAUUUUGGGGGCGAUCGUGCGGGCAGCGUUUGUUGUACUGUUUGGUCGCCCUCUUUCUUCCGUGUGACCAUGGGCAUUCACUUGUCUGUGUAAUUGCGCGGAUCGUUUACUGUGAAAAAAUUAGAGUGUUCAAGGCAGGCGUUUGCUUGAAUACAUUAGCAUGGAAUAAUGGAAUAGGACUUCGGACCUAUUUUGUUGGUUUCUAGGACCGUCGUAAUGAUUAAUAGGGACAGUUGGGGCCGUUCAUAUUCCGUAGUCAGAGGUGAAAUUCUUGGAUUUACGGAAGAUGAACUACUGCGAAAGCAUUCGGCAAGGAUGUUUUCG